AUCUAGCUGACGAGUCCUAAAUGGAACAAAACAUGCGUCCUCGAU
rnacentral:hammerhead_ribozyme from 1 species